GGGCGUAAGGGCUCGCAGGCGGUUUCUUAAGUCUGAUGUGAAAGCCCCCGGCUCAACCGGGGAGGGUCAUUGGAAACUGGGGAGCUUGAGUCGCGAAGAGGAGAGUGGAAUUCCACGUGUAGCGGUGAAAUGCGUAGAGAUGUGGAGGAACACCAGUGGCGAAGGCGACUCUCUGGACUGUAACUGACGCUGAGGAGCGAAAGCGUGGGGAGCGAACAGGAUUAGAUACCCUGGUAGUCCACGCCGUAAACGAUGACUGCUAGGUGUUAGGGGGCUUCAGCCCCUUAUUGCUGAACCUAACCCAUUAAUCAAUCGGCCGGGGAAGUACGGCCCCAGGACUGAACCUCAAUGGAUUUGACGGGGGCCCCCCCAACCGGGGAACCUGGGGGUUUAUUUCAAACCACCCCAAAAAACCUUACCGGGCCUGGCCUUCCUGGGACUCUCCUAAAAAGAGGACGUGCCCUCCGGAGGCAUAAUGACAGGGGUGGCUGGGUUGCCGCCAGCCCGGGUCUGGAAAGGUUGGGUUAAUUCCCGCACCAACCGCACCCCUUGAUCUUAUUUGCCAGCAUUCAGCUGGGCACUCUAAGGUGACUGCCGGUGACAAACCGGAGGAAGGUGGGGAUGACGUCAAAUCAUCAUGCCCCUUAUGACCUGGGCUACACACGUGCUACAAUGGACAGAACAAAGGGCAGCGAAACCGCGAGGUUAAG
rnacentral:rRNA from 1 species